UGGCCGAGAUGCAUGCUGGCUGUCGGGUGCUAUUUGGUUCGCGUGUAUCGAAGCUCACGCUAUACGUUCCCCCCGGGGAGAGUAGUGUCGCAAUACUGAAACUCAGGAGAAUUGAGGGGGCCCCGCACACGCGGUAGAGUGUGUGUUUUAUCUCAAUGCAACGCAAAAAAUCUUACCUGCUCUUGACAUGUCGAGAACUUUCUGGAGAUGAAUUGCUGCCUUCGGGAACUCCAACAAAGGUGCUGUGUGGGUGUCUCCACCUCUCGUGUCGAGAUAUUGGGUUAAAUCCCCCAACGAGAGCACCCCUUGUCCUUAUUUGUCCCCACAUUUUGGUGGGAACUCUAAGGAGACCGCCGGUGACAAACCGAAAGAAAGGGGGGAAGAACUCCAGUCCUCCUGGGCCUUACCGGCCUGGCUACCCCCCUACUACCAUGGUAGGGAACAAUGGCUGCCAACCCGCCAAUGUCAACCUAUCCCCCAAACCCUAUCUCAGUCCGGAUUGCACUCUGCAACUCGACUCCAUGAAGUCGGAAUCGCUAGUAAUCGCAGAUCAGCAUUGCUGCGGUAAAUACUUUCCCGGGCCUUGUACACACCGCCCGUCACACCAUGGGAGUUUGUUGCCCCGAAAGCAGGGCGCUUAACCUUCGGGAGGGCGCUUGCCACGGUGUGUCCGAUAACGGGGGUGAGUCAAAAGGGGGAAAAAACCAA
rnacentral:rRNA from 1 species